UUCAAGGUGUCUCUGUACUUUAGCUA
rnacentral:piRNA from 1 species